rnacentral:rRNA from 1 species
UACGGGGGGGGUAAGCGUUGUUCGGAAUUACUGGGCGUAAAGGGCUCGUAGGCGGCCAACUAAGUCAGACGUGAAAUCCCUCAGCUUAACUGGGGAACUGCGUCUGAUACUGGAUGGCUUGGAUUCGGGAGAGGAAUGCGGAAUUCCAGGUGUAGCGGUGAAAUGCGUAGAAAUCUGGAGGAACACCGGUGGCGAAGGCGGCAUUCUGGACCGAUAUUGACGCUGAGGAGCGAAAGCCAGGGGAGCAAACGGG